rnacentral:tRNA from 1 species
GAGAGGGUAGUUUAUAUAAAACAUAGACUUUGGGAGUCUAAAAAGUAAAGUUAACUUUAUUCCUUUA